CUUGGGCUAGGAGUCUUUGGAGAGAGUUAGAGCACAGAUUAAAGCAUCUUAAAAAGGGAGAGGGAAGAUUUUAAGACAACAAACACAGUUUAUCAACAGGUGGUAAAGGGUUAGGAGUUGCUCAGCCCUAUUACGUGUGACUCCACAUGCUGUGACCCCAUCAUGAAUACCCGGUUCUUUUGCCAUGUGGCCUUUAUUCUUUGGAGAGCGGGUCUACUGGAUGCUGGAAUUACCCAGACCCCAAGAUACCUGGUCACAUGGAAAGGAGAUAAUGUGACGUUUAGAUGUGACCCUAUCAAAGGACACACUUGGGUUUAUUGGUAUCAACAGCUUUUAGAUAAAGAGAUUACAUUCUUGAUUUCUUUCCAGAGCAGCACUCCCAUGAAUGACUUGGGGAUGCACAAGCUUCGAUUCUCAGCUAAAUGUUCCCAAAACUCACCCUGUGAGCUGUCAAUCCAAAUCUCAGAGCCUGGGGACUCAGGCAUUUAUUUCUGUGCCAGCAGUGAAACCACAGUGCUGUGA